rnacentral:tRNA from 1 species
GGGUGACCUGGGCGAAGGGGUCGAGUCUUCCCGGUCUCCAAGGCCGGGCUCCAUUGAGGCGAACUCCCAGCCUCCGGAGUACGUACUCCCCGGGUGUCUUCCC